rnacentral:rRNA from 1 species
UACAGAGGGGGCAAGCGUUGUUCGGAAUUACUGGGCGUAAAGGGCGCGUAGGCGGCCCUGUAAGUCCGUUGUGAAAGUCAAAGGCUCAACCUUUGAAAGCCGAUGGAUACUGCAGGGCUAGAGUCCGGAAGAGGCGAGUGGAAUUCCUGGUGUAGCGGUGGAAUGCGCAGAUAUCAGGAGGAACACCAAUAGCGAAGGCAGCUCGCUGGGACGGUACUGACGCUAAGGCGCGAAAGCGUGGGGAGCGAACAGG